CUCAAGAGGUUUAACGUUGGGGAGGAUUGCCCUGUUUUCUAUGAGCUUUUUGAGUUUUGUCAGGCAUCUGCCGGUGGCUCGAUUGGGGCUGCUGUCAAGCUCAANNNNNGGGUGAUGCCGAUAUCGCGUUGAACUGGGCUGGUGGCUUGCAUCAUGCUAAGAAGAGUGAGGCGUCCGGAUUUUGUUAUGUUAAUGAUAUUGUGCUGGGGAUUCUCGAGUUGCUUAAGGUUCACAGGCGUGUCCUGUAUGUUGAUAUUGAUGUCCACCAUGGAGAUGGUGUUGAAGAGGCGUUCUAUACUACUGACAGGGUCAUGACAGUGUCCUUUCAUAAAUUCGGAGAUUUCUUUCCAGGAACAGGGCAUAUAAAGGACACUGGUACUGGGCAAGGGAAGAACUAUGCUCUGAAUAUCCCAUUAAAUGAUGGGAUGAAUGAUGAAAGUUUCCGC
rnacentral:misc_RNA from 1 species